GAUGAACGCUAGCUACAGGCUUAACACAUGCAAGUCGAGGGGAAACGGCAUCGAAAGCUUGCUUUUGAUGGGCGUCGACCGGCGCACGGGUGAGUAACGCGUAUCCAACCUGCCCAUCACUUGGGAAUAACCUUGCGAAAGUAAGACUAAUGCCCAAUGAAAUCCCACGAAGGCAUCCGAAUGGGAUUUAAGAUUUAUCGGUGAUGGAUGGGGAUGCGUCUGAUUAGCUUGUUGGCGGGGUGACGGCCCACCAAGGCAACGAUCAGUAGGGGUUCUGAGAAGAAGGCACCCCACAUUGGAAAUGAGACACGGUCCAAACUCGUACGGGAGGCAGCAGUGAGGAAUAUUGGUCAAUGGGCGAGAGCCUGAACCAGCCAAGUAGCGUGCAGGAUGACGGCCCUAUGGGUUGUAAACUGCUUUUAUAAGGGAAUAAAGUGGGUCACGUGUGACUUUUUGCAUGUACCUUAUGAAUAAGGACCGGCUAAUUCCGUG
rnacentral:rRNA from 1 species